AUAACGGUCCUAAGGUAGCGAAAUUCCUUGUCAGGUAAGUUCUGACCCGCACGAAUGGCGUAAUGAUUUGGGCACUGUCUCAACAGCCCGCCCGGCGAAAUUGUAGUACUGGUGAAGAUGCCAGUUACCCGCAACUAGACGGAAAGACCCCAUGGAGCUUUACUGCAGCUUAAUACUGAAAUUCGGUAGUACAUGUACAGGAUAGGUGGGAGACUGAGAAAUACAGGCGUCAGCUUGUAUGGAGUCGCUGUUGGGAUACCACUCUUGUACUGCUGGGUUUCUAACCUGCGGCCGUGAAUCCGGUCGGGGGACACUGUUAGGCGGGCAGUUUGACUGGGGCGGUCGCCUCCUAAAGAGUAACGGAGGCGCUCAAAGGUUGGCUCAGCACGGACGGAAAUCGUGCAGUGAGUGUAAACGUAUAAGCCAGCCUAACUGCGAGACCGACGGGUCGAGCAGUAACGAAAGUUGGAGUUAGUGAUCCGGUGGUAUGUGAGUGGAAAUGCCAUCGCUCAACGGAUAAAAGCUACCCUGGGGAUAACAGGCUGAUCUCCCCCAAGCGUCCACAGCGACGGGGAGGUUUGGCACCUCGAUGUCGGCUCGUCGCAUCCUGGGGCUGAAUUCGGUCCCAAGGGUUUGGCUGUUCGCCAAUUAAAGCGGCACGCGAGCUGGGUUCAGAACGUCGUGAGACAGUUCGGUCCCUAUCUGUUGCGGGCGUAAGAGAUUUGAAGGGAGCUGUCCUUAGUACGAGAGGACCGGGAUGGACGUACCUCUGGUGCACCAGUUGUCCUGCCAAGGGCAUAGCUGGGUAGCUAUGUACGGACGAGAUAAACGCUGAAAGCAUCUAAGCGUGAAACUCCCCCUAAGAUGAGAUCUCUCAUCCUUCAAGGAGUAAGGACCCAGAAAGACGAUCUGGUUGAUAGGCCGAAGGUGGAAGCGCAGUAAUGUGUGCAGCUGAUCGGUACUAAUAGUCCGAGGGCUUGACCUA
rnacentral:rRNA from 1 species